AACGCACCUUGCGCCCUUUGGUAAUCCGAGGGGCAUGCCUGUUUGAGUGUCUUGAAGCUCUCAAAUAUUUUUUUUGUUAAAAAAUAUUUGGAUUUGGGUUCUGCUGGUUGUCAAGAUCGGCUCACCCUAAAUGCAUUAGCUGGCUUUUUUGGGUCUGCAAACUCGGUGCGAUAAUUGUCACUCGCUGAGGUUAAACCCUAAAAGAAAGCUUCUAGAACUUUGUGAAACUAAGUGUUUGACCUCAAAUCAGGUAGGACUACCCGCUGAACUUAA
rnacentral:misc_RNA from 1 species